CUGGCAGCCCUGGAGAUAGAAGUCCUCUAAUUAUCUGCAGUAUAAGUACAUGCCUGGGGAACAGAGGUGCACGCUUCCUUGCACUGCCUCACCAAUGUGCCUCAGUCAGGCAGGACCUGGUUAUGGGGCGAGAGGAUGAUUCAAUCCCGAAACCCAGCCAGUCUUUGGCCAUU
rnacentral:sRNA from 1 species